UCACAAGUUUAGGGGCUGACAGCCUCAGCACAGAAGGUUCGUUGGGUAAUAAUCAGAGGGCAGAGGCCCGAGCAUAACUUUGUAAAGGGUCUCUGGCGGGGCAGAUGGUCUCCCUGCCAAGGACACAACAAGAAGUUUGAGAAUAGGAAGGUCUGAACUAAUUUUCCCAAUCAGAAAAAGAAGACUAGCUCCUCAUUUCUAGCAAGGAAUAAUACAAGCUGCCUGGGAGCAGAGAGAACACCCAAGGGUACAUGAUGUUCUGUAUGGCCCCAGGGCCUCUCCCUACCUUUGCACACAGCGACUCUGAGCCAGGAGACUGCAGCUGCCCCAGAGAUCUGCACUCAGCACCCUAGAUUCUGGGGAAUUUCCCUCUGAGUCAUAACCUGGGCACAGAGCCUACAACUCAGCCAAGUAGUAGGGCUGAGUGCAAGAGACUCAUCUUGGGCAAGGAGGAAGGGGGCAGAGCUUUUGCACUCAUUCUCCUGUUCUGCUAUAAAGGGAGGGGCUGGACCGGUCCCUUCACAACUCAUCCUUCUAGCCUUCCAGCUCAUUCUUCAGCCCACGUGCUCCAGCCCUGCCAGCUAUGGACCCCAACUGUGACUGCUCAAAUGGUGGCUCUUGCACCUGUGGUGACUCCUGCAAAUGCAAAUCAUGCUCCUGUACCUCUUGUAAGAAAAGCUGCUGCUCCUGCUGCCCAGCAGGAUGUGCCAAGUGUGCCCAGGGCUGUGUCUGCAAAGCCCCCCAGACCGAGAGCUGCAGCUGCUGCCACUGAUGCUCCUGCCUCCCUGUGCCUGUAGAAUAGAGGAAUCUGUAUAUUUUCACGCACCGUGAAUGUUUUUCUACUUUUUCCCUAUGAAAUAUGUAAACGAAAAUAAACUAACAAUGCUUUUCUAUAUGUUGUUGUGU
rnacentral:lncRNA from 1 species